AACCUGGCUCCAUUUGGAGCCCACACAUUUUUAAAUAUAAAUAAAUU
rfam:Tyto alba contig130880, whole genome shotgun sequence.